AAACAUGUCUUUUUGAAUUAUAUUUAAAGUCUGACCUGCCCACUGAAUAAUUUUAAAUGGCCGCAGUAUUUUGACUGUGCAAAGGUAGCAUAAUCAUUAGUCUUUUAAUUGAAGGCUGGUAUGAACGGUUGGACGAAGUAUAAGCUGUUUCAUAUAAAUUUAUAAUAGAAUUUUAUAUUUUAGUUAAAAAGCUAAAAUUUUAUUAAAAGACGAGAAGACCCUAUAAAUCUUUAUAUUUAAUAUAAACUAAAUUUUUUUGAUUUAUUUUAUUUUUUUUAAUAUUAAUUAUUUUGUUGGGGUGAUAUUAAAAUUUGAUGAACUUUUAAUUUUUAAAAAUCAUUAAUUUAUGAAUUAUUGAUCCAUUAAUAGUGAUUAUAAGAUUAAGUUACUUUAGGGAUAACAGCGUAAUUUUUUUUGAGAGUUCAUAUCGACAAAAAAGUUUGCGACCUCGAUGUUGGAUUAAGGUAUAAUUUUGGGUGUAGCCGUUCAAAAAUUAAGUCUGUUCGACUUUUAAAUCCUUACAUGAUC
rnacentral:rRNA from 1 species